GGGUCAGUAGGUUGGUCGUGCCACCGGUACGUACUGGUCUCACCGAUUCCUCCUUCCUGAAGAACCGUAAUGCCAUUAAUUUGGUGUUGCGGGGAAACAGGACUGUUACUUUGAAAAAAUUAGAGUGUUUAAAGCAAGCUAUCGCUUGAAUACAUUAGCAUGGAAUAAUGAAAUAGGACGAUCGAUCCUAUUUUGUUGGUUUCUAGGAUUGACGUA
rnacentral:rRNA from 1 species